GGAAUAUAAGAACCUAACUCUUAACUUUUAACUAAAAAAACUAAGAACCGGCUCUUAAAUAAGAGUUUUAAGAGACGGUUCUUAGCUUUUUUUAGUUAAAAAUUAAAAGACGGGUUGUUAUAUUUC
rfam:Brassica oleracea var. oleracea cultivar TO1000 chromosome C9, whole genome shotgun sequence